UGUGUUUGUGCACUAAACUGAUCUCAUAUCUGCAAUAGCUAAACAACAGUUAAACAACACAAGUGAACAGACUGACGUGGACUCAGUGAAAAAUGAACCAUCACCCAUGGAUCAAAGUACCCAGCCAGGUGAUGUUUUUUUCCCCUUUCUUUUGGACGUUUCCAUGACAUCAGGUUCCAUUACAUUAUCUAGUUGUGUCACCGUCAAGUGUCGAACAGUGAGAGAUUUCAUGUCAUAUUCAAUGAUGCCAUACAUGUAGCUGAGGCUAUUUUUUGAAGUUGCUAUGUACCCAUCAGUGGCGUUUUGGAUUACUGUUGUUGGGCCGGUGGUGGCGGUGGCGGUGGUGUUGGCGGUGGUGGGCGCAGCGUGGUGGUGUGUACGAAAAAAGAAACCGAUGCCAACCCAGAACCAAGGACUGGAGUUAACUGAAAUGAACAGACCCGACGAUGGUGAUCAGACACCAUCAGGACAUGGGGACACGACUGAAGACGGGGCUCUCCCUGAGAAGACAACUGAGAAACCGAAGAGCAAUCACUGUUACGUGGAACUGAUGAGACGGAAAACCUGCUGGAAUGGAGAUUGUAAAGAUUGAGGGCGAGGUAUAGCCUGGGUAUACCCAU